rnacentral:rRNA from 1 species
CUUACGGGUGGCAGCAGUGAGGAAUAUUGGUCAAUGGUCGGGAGACUGACCCAGCCAAGCCGCGUGAGGGAUGAAGGUACAGAGUAUCGUAAACCUCUUUUGUCAGGGAACAAAGGCGGGGACGCGUCCCCGGAUGAGUGUAACUGAAGAAAAAGCAUCGGCUAACUCCGUGCCAGCAGCCGCGGUAAGACGUCGGCGGCAAGCGUUGUCCGGCUUUACUGGGUGUAAAGGGCGUUGAGCCGGAGAGACAAGUCAGAUGUGAGAUCCACGGGCUCAACCCGUGAACUGCAUUUGAAACUGUUUCCCUUGAGUGGCGGAGAGGUGAUCGGAAUUCCUUGUGUAGCGGUGAAAUGCGUAGAUAUAAGGAAGAACACCAGUGGCGAAGGCGGAUUACUGGACGAUAACUGACGGUGAGGCGCGAAAGCGUGGGGAGCAAACAGGAUUAGAGACCCUUGUAGUC